AUAUCUUCCUCUAUCUUUUAAUUUUAAUCUUAAUUUUAAUUUUAAAGUGAGUUUCUUUCAUAUAGCAUACAGUUAGCUAAUUUUUAAAUCAAAUUUGAUAAUCCCAGUAGUUUGCAUGAAGUGUUGGACUCAUUUACUCUUCUACAUUUUAUUUUAUUGUAGUAAGAACACUUAAUGCGAGAUCUACCCUCUCAAUAAAAUUUUAAGUGUACAAUACAUUAUUGUUGACUGUAGGUACAGCGUCACACAGCAGAUCUCUAGAGCUUAUUCAGUUUGUUUAACUGAAACUUUAUGCCCAUUGUUUAAUUAUUCAUCAUUUCCUUCUCCCCCCAACCCCUGGCAACCACCAUUCCACUAGCUGAUUCUGUGAAUUCGACUCUUUUAGAUGCAUCAUAUAGUUGGAAGCAGGAUCUUGAAGAGAUAUUCGCACUCCCAUGUUCAUUGCAGUAUUACUCACAACAGCCAAGAUGCACUAACAAUCUAAGCGUCCAUCAAAAGAUGAAUGGAUAAGGAAGAUGUGGUCUGUAUAUACAGUGGAAUGCUACUAAGUCUUAAUGCAGAAGGAAAUUCUGCAAUAUGCGACAACAUGGACUUUGAAAACAUUAUGCUAAGUUAAAUAAGCCAGUUACAGAAAGGAAUCAUUUAUUUUUUUGUGAUUUGAAACAUGGUUAGAUUAAAUCUACCAUGUUGGCUGUUUUAUACUUAUUCCAUCUGUUUUUUGUUUCUUUUUUCUCUUUUUAAGCAUUUUCCAGUGCUAUUGGGUGUUAUCCCAUUUUAUGUCCUCUAUUGACUUAAAUUUCAGUGGUUGUCUGAGCAUGUACAAUAUACAUCUCCAUGUAAUCAAUUAAUAAUAUACUGCCUCAUAUUUAGUGAAGGCUCCUGCCGUGGUAUAUUGCCAAUCCUCUUCCCCAUCCCUUUGAUAUUUUUAUCGUGGCCUUGACUUUUACCUAUCCUGUAAACACGCAGUUAUAUUUAAUAGUGUUUAAAAGGAGUAAAAUGUCUUUAACAUUUAAUUCCAUUCCAGAGCUCUUCAUUUCUUUGUAGACCCACAUCUCAAUCUAACAUCAUAUUUUUUUUGCUCAAAGAAUAUUCUUGACAUUUUUGUGGAGAAUGUUCACAAGCAGUGAGUUCUGUGAGCUUCUGUUUCUCUGAGGGAAGCUUUAUUACCCUUUGUUUUCUAAAAGAUAUUUUCUCUGGGUAUAGAUUUCUGGGGUUGAAAGUAUAGAUUUCCAUGUAGGAAAAUUGAAUUGUUUUCUUUCAGUAUUUUAAAAUGUUCCUCUAUUAUCUCUGGCUUGCAUAAUUUCUGAUAUUUUUAUCUUUGUUUCUGUGUUCAUAUUUCUUUUUCUCUGGCUACCUUUAAGAUUUUAUCAUUGUCUUUGGUUUUUAGCAUUGGAAUAUGAUGUGCUUAAGAUAUUUGUUUGCUUGUCCCUGCCUGAUCUUCUCUGAGCUUCUUCAUAUAUGCUAUGUUGUCUGUCAUUAAUUUUGGAAAGUUCUCUGUGAUUAUUGUUUUAAAUUUUCCUUCUCCUUUUGGGAUUUCAAUCACACCUAAGUUAGAACAUUUAGUAUUGUUUCACAGGUCAUGAAUUUUGCUAUUGUUUUCUUUUUCUCUUUGUGUUUCAAUUUGUAUAAUUUCUAUUGACCUCAUUUUAAAUUCACGGAUUCUUUCCCUGGCUGCCUCAAAUUUUUGAUAAGCUUAUCAAAGGCAUUCUUCAUCUCAGUUGCUGUGUUUCUAUUUCUACCAUUUCUGUUUGAUUCUUUUUUCAGUUUCCAUCCCUCUGCAGAAGCCACACGUUUGAUCUUUUGUGUUGUUCAUCUUUUUGAUUAGAGCCUUUUUUUGCCACUGAAAAUUGUUUAUUAAGACACAAAGCAAUGAACAGUUAAACAAUCCUGAUUUUGUUACUUUUUGGUGGGAGGAGCAUGGGUCAUUGGACAGGUAAGGGACAGACAGAGACAGCCCAGAAGGAAAGUCAGCUCUAUCCACCCGUACUGCUUUCCCAGGCCAGCUAGGUUCAACACCCCUCAAUUGCAACUCACUGUGCUGCCGUAAAUGCGUGUUGUGGCUACAGACAGAGUUGGUUUGGCCUCCUGCCACAGGGAGAGGUUGGGAACUUAGAGCAGGAGCUACAGGGCAACUAAGAACUUGACAGAUUCUCCAGUUAUUGGUACAAAAUAGAGCAGCCAGGCCCAAUUGGAGGGAUGGAGUUGGUUUCCAGACAAGCCAGGGUAGACCAAUAAUCGUUGAAGAGAUGCUCUGAGCUCAGAAUGGGCAGCUGCUCCUAGUGCGGGAGAACUUAAUGGAAGAAAAAUCCAAGAAGACCAAUCCAAGGUCAAAUUUCUUUUCAUUCUCUGAAUCAUGACACAUCAGGGAAGAGAGCAGUCAAGAAUGUCUCAUUCCUGGUUUUGUCAUAAUGUCUCUCCCUGCUAAUUUUCCCCUCCCAUCGGGCACAUUUAUUAACACAUUUAUUAUAAUGAUUUAAAAUUCCUUGUCAGACAAUUCCAACAUCUGUGUCAUAUCUGAAUCUGGUUCAGAUUAUUGCUUUGUCUCUUCUUAGUGUGUUUAUUCUUGCCUUUAAAUAUAGAUCUUUUCAUUUCAUUGUUGACAUCAGAUGUAGGAGAGGAGAGACUGAGGUAAAUAAUAUGUAUGCUUGGAAAUGGGCAUACCUUUCCACUGGCCCUUUAAUGCAAAGGUAUGAGUCAAUAUAGUUAAGAGUUGGGCUGGUUUUGUGGUGUCGUUGCUAUGGUUAUCACCAGUGCACUACAGGCUUCAAAUUUCUGUAGAAAUACUUUGUAUUUAGAGUGGGGUUGGUUUUCUAAAGAAAGGCCUCUCCAAUGUUGAAUUUGAGGUCUUUCCUUUAUGGCAUGCCUCAGAGAUCACUGCAUGCUGUUUCUUCACUUAAUGGUGUGGUGUGCUCUUAGAAGUGCAUUCUCUAACGUUCUAAUUAAGCCACAAUAUUAACCCUGAAUAAUAUCCCUGGGUCUGAGGUUGUAGCCUCUUUCAUCCUGCUGCCCUUUCGCUGACGGUAGUUGUGGGCCCAAUGAAUAAUCCAACUGCUUUCCAAGGGAUAAUUUUUGUUUGCUUGUUUGUUUUUUAGCUCUGAUGUAUUCCCUCGGUUGUAAUGAGUUUUCCCCAGUGCCCUGAGGGCUGCAGUUCUUCGUUGUCGUUUAUUCCCAGAGAGUAAGGAUUUAGUUCAGCAGUGGACAGGGAAGAGGAUCCAAGUGGAGUUUCUCGUCCCUCCUGCUCAGCUGCUUUCUCUUAGCCCAGCUCUGCAGCCCAUGGAUGCUUCUUAUGGUUUUUUCCAAUGUUUUCUGUGAGCACCCAGUGGGAUUUGUGGUGAAAUUAUGCAAGAGGAUGCAGACUCCAAUAUCUUCAGCUCCCAGUGGUUUCACAGUGUCCUGCCGGCCCACACUCAGCUGUCAUCAAUUUACGGCUAUUCCUGCUAAAAUCUUACCUUUGCAUCUACCCCGGCAUUUAAAGGAACACCUCAACAUCGGAGAAAUUUUGAGAAAGUCACAGCCUGUAUACUUCUGGAGGAUGCUGGAAGAACAAAGCAGCAGAGCUGGUUUUGGACCAGCAGGAUGCUGGACUCGGAGACAGCAGGAUGAGGAUCUUGAAGUCUCUGCAUCUCAGCUUGGAAUCCUAGUAACCAACAGAACAGUCCCACUGACCAUGCUGGUUAUAUGAUCUGCCCAUCUUGAGAAAAUCUCCCUACCACUGCCAGCAUGUGCCUUCGUCAUUUACUACUGUACGAUUGUUAAAAAGUUAUUUCAUCUCUAGUGCCUCCUUUUCCUUACCUCUGAAACAAGAAUAUACAAGCAUCUAUUUCAUAUAUUUUGCAAGAAUUAAAUGGUAUCAAACGAGGAAAGUGUGUAGCACAAAGCCUGGCACAUAGUGUUUGUAAGUAUUAUGGUUGUUAUGAUUAUAAUCCUCUCCUUCACAUGCUUGGUUAUAGGUGAGUUCUUUCCCCACAGCUCCAAAAGAAUAAAAUAAUAGUUUGCUGGAAAAGUCAACUUAUAAAAUGCCAGGAAAAUUUAAAUGAAAUUCUCCCUGUCUAACUGUGUCACCUAAAGAAAGUCAUUUACCAAUGUAGCUUUCACUUAUCUCCUCUGAAACUGAGAAGCAAGACACAGGCUAUGAUCUGAGGUGUUUUCUAAAUUAUAAAUUCUUUUAUUUCAAUAUUGUUUCUAUUUCAGUAACACUAUUUCUUCCUUUACAUUAAGGAGUACAGUUAGUUUACCCCUCUGAAUGAGUCUAGUAAUGGGAGCAUUCCCCCAGCAAGCUGCCUGCGUUAGUAGUUAACAGCAUAACUUGACAUUAGUGACAGGUUGUUUCCUAAAUGCUGACAGUCACUUAAUCCGGAAGAUAAGGCCAAAGCAAGAGACACAGCAGCCAAAAAGGAAAAUCACCUUAACUGGCAGUUUCAAUAAAAGUAUAUGCCUUACAGGGAAUAGAUUAAUUGAGUCUAACCUCCCUUCCUUUCUCUCAAUCCCUAAUACCAGUGAGUAUUUCCAGGAGUGAGGGUGGUGAAAUGUCCCCCUUUCUAGAUGAGAGAGAGAAAACAGUGUGUUCAGAGGAAGGGAUGCUUUUUACUCCCUUGUCAGAAUGAUGUGAAACCCACUUGACUCUAGCAUGCUACAAGCUUUUUAUUUUCCAGUGAAAAUUAUCUUAACAUAGUAUAAGUGUAAAAUGCUCACAGUGAUUCCAGGACUUCAUUGGUUUAUAAGUUCUGGGCUAAAUAUGUAAAAUUAGUCUCUUCAUCCAAUCAGCAAGAUAGCAAAGUUCAUAUUGGACCCGAUGCUUUGACAUGUCUUUGUGGGACCAAGUAGAAAUGUUUGGUAAACAUUUGGUUAUAGAGGUCUGGAACCCAGAAAAUGGGUCUAGGCUGCAGAUAUACAUUUGGUGGUCUACAUAUAGGUGGUAUUAUUAAAGUAGGAAUUAAUGAGGCUAGCUAAAAUAAGCAUGUGUAGAAAGACAUGAGGGCCUAGAUCGGGGCCUAAAGGGCGUUUUACUUGAAGACUUUUAGUUAAUAAAAGGAAGAAUUCCAGGAGAAUGUCGUCUCAUGGGAGAUGAUGAAACUGUUUUGGUAACAAAAGUACUGUUCUUUGGUAUAAGUUUUGACUUCUAGGCUGUCAAAAAAGAUGAGCAAUACUGUCACGUGGUUCUCAAUCUGCAACAAUAUUACUUUUUUCUUUGACCCUCCAACACUCCAAACUUAUCCCAACCAUUGCACUGGCAACUAAUUCUGCUCAAAAUGCUCCUCCCUGGCCUCAAAUGUGGAGGAGAACAGCCUCGCCUUGUGAGGCACUUGCUGGAGACCAGGUCAUUGCAUGAGGCCAUUCUAAGCAAAAGAGGAGAGGGCUGCUUUCCUAUCCAGCAGAAAUAAGGGUGUUUGAUAUUCUGAAUUCCAUUUACAAAAAUAUCCCCAUGGUCUCAGGGUCCCACGCUUCCUUACAGGGGUCAAGGCAUCGCAAAGCUGCAUACUUAGUCUUCAUUGCAGCAUUUAGAACCUUAUAACCAUUCACUGGGCCUGAUUUUCAGCACAAUCUUCCUUGUAGCUGAAAUAGCUAAGAACUGCUUCUACCAUUGCCAAAGAAUUCGUGAGGUUUUUCAUAGCAUGCUUAAGGUUAGGGGCAAUCUCUCCUGAGCCUUUUAUGUGUGUGUGUGUGUACGUGUGCGUGUGCACAAGGUCUCUAAGUCUGGCAAAAGCAGACAUCUCACAUAACAUUUCUUAUAAUUAUCAUUGCUUCUCUACUAAUCAAGAGCAGUUACCUUCCAACUCCUUACCUUGUAUCUGAGCUUCUUCCUAAUUAAACACUGCUGAAAGCCUUAGUAAAAAUGAUGCCAGUGCAUGCCAGGGAUUAUUACUCACCCUAAUUAACCACAAAAAUAUAUCUCUCUUGACUUCAGAUGAGUGAGAAUGCAAGCCUGAAAUCUUAUUCUGAGGGUUUGUUUGUAGGGCCACUGAUGUAACCAAUUGUCUUAGUCUAAAUUUUCUGGAAAAUCCAGCCAAAGGUAUAGUUUAUAUGGCAGAGCUUUUUUGGGGGGAGGGAAGGGGUGGUGGGAGGAUGCUGCAUUACCAGGGCAACAAGACUGAGGGAAGAAGUAUGAGGGAUGCUCUAGGGGAGAAGAGAGAGAAAUAUAAGUUUGUGAAUAACCAUGCUGGCCACAAAUUCACAAUGGAAUAACAAGGAAUACAAGCACACAGGGCAUCUCUGGAAAGGACAUAUGGCAUUAUUGUGUCUGAACUUGUCCAUUAGAGUGGGAGAGAAGGACACUUCUUUAUGUCACCUGUCUUUCAUUGCUCAAAGUUUAUCCCAUGGGGUUUAAGACCCACCCAUCUCUGGACUGUGUUAACGGGCCCUGCCAUGGGGAAGCCAGAGCUGCCAUGGUUCUAAUUGAACUGGACCUUGGUGCUAGAGCUGCUGCAGCUGCUGCUUCAGUAGGUGCAAUGGUGACCAUGACAAAGCUUAGCCCUUGUCCUAUGGAGAGGACAACAAUUUGAGGCUGAGGCAGAUGCUGGGGUUGAGCAGAUAAGGGAAGAAGUAUAACUUGGCUAUUCAGUCUUUUAAUAUUCUAUCACAACUAUAUUUAAAAAUAUUUUUAUUAGAUGCUCUGUGGGAAUAUACCAAUGACAUAAACAGUAUUCAAAAUACAAAAUAUUUCUUUUCCUUUUCCUAAUAAUGGUUAACAUUACUGCCUAUCAUUCUUGUCUUUUUUUAAAAAAAGUAUUCUUCUUAGGUUUGGUCUAAAUUAGCAUAGCAGACUGGGGAUGUUUUUGCUCUUUAUUUUCUGCAUGUAACAGAAUUCUCCCAGAGCUGAUCAGGCGAUUGUACUAAUGUGGUUGCGUUCAUAAGGGUUACUGACAUUCCUGGGACCAUACCUCCAACUGCAUAACUCAGGAAUUGUAGCCCUACCCAAAAAGUCUCCUUUGCUUCUUGGGGUAUCUAUCUACUAUGAGCUUACAAACAGUCUUUCUUCACCCUUGUGGAUAGCUCAUGCACAAACUUCCAGUGUGCAACUUAUCGUUCCCUUGAAGUUGUUAAACAAACUCUGCCUCUAAAGUUGGGGCUGUCAGUGGGAGAGAUAUGUCUGUGCCCAGGUAACAAGCUAUGGAUUAUCUAGUUGUCUGAGUUGCAAUGGAGCCCUCAUUUUAGCCAAAACGUACUACAUUUCAAGCAUAAAUGGAGAAAAUAUCUGACCAUCUAGCUUUACUUUGCCAUUCAGAAGAUAUUUUGUUCUUCCUUUGUCUUAGUGAUUGCAUUGAGGAAAGAGUCCUUAAACUUAGGCCAGUGAACUUCUGCCUCUGAUCUGAGUCAAGAAAUCAGAUUCUGAAAACACUCCUAAGAUAUGCGUCAUGUUAUAUUCCUCUCAGAAGACAUUUUCAAACUCCUCCUUUUUAAAGCAAAAAACAGCUAUGGACUGAAUGUAUCCCCCUCAAAUUUAUAUGUUGAAGCUCUAACCCCCCAGUGUGAUUGCAUUUGGAGAUGGAGCCUUUGGGAGGUUUUUAGGGUUAGAUGAGAUCGUGAGGGCCAGAACCUCAUGACAGGAUUAGUAAGCUUUAGAACUACAAGAAGAGAGAGAGAUCACUCUGUCUGUUAUGCAAGGACAUGGAGAAGGCUGCUGUCUGCAAGCCAGAAAGCGAGUCCUCACCAGAGUCCAACUCACCUCAGACUUCCAGCCUCCAGAACUGUGAGAAAAUAAACUUCCUUUGUUUAAGCCACUUGGUCUAUGGUGUUUUCUUAUGGCAGCCCUUGCUGACUAAUACAGCAGCAUCCAAAUCAAUACUUGAAAAUAUACCACUUAUGGGAUGAAUCUGCAUUCCAUUUUUUAUGCCUAGAUAUGCUUGAUUCAUGUUUAGGCACAAAUUUAUGUUCCUGCUUCCUACAGUUCCUUAAACCUGUGUAUGGAAUAAUUUCUGCCUCUUCUUCUGCUGAAAGAGCUCUGUGACCCAGUCACAUCAAAAUAGAUCGACAGCAACUUUAAUGGAAGAUCAAUUCUGUUAGGCAGGUAUAGAUCCAGGCAAUUAGUAACAUAAAUUCCCAAAGUAAAAAAUGUCAGGUUUAGAUUGCUAUCUACUUGUUAUACAAUAUGCUUCAAAAGAGCUUUGAAUCAAAAAAAUUAAAAUUUACUCUGGUUUAAUAUCUUUCCUUUUUAAAAUUUUUUAAUAUGAAAAAUUUCAGGGGCCAGCCCAGUGGCAUAGUGGUUACCUUCGCGUGCUCUUCUUCAGUGGCCCGGGGUUUGCAGGUUCAGAUCCUGGGCAUGGACCUAGCAUGGCUUAUCAAGAUACGCCAUUUUAUAUGGCGUCCCACAUAAAACAGAGGAAGAUUGGCACAGAUGUUAGCUCAGCAACAAUCUUCCUCAAGCAAAAAGAGGAGGCUGGGCAACAGAUGUUAGCUCAGAGCCAAUCUUCCUCACACACACACACACACACACACACACACACAAAUUUCAAAUGUCUAUAACAAUAGCUAGACUAUAAUAAAAUCUUAUAUUUGAAUCACCAGGCUUCAAAACUGUCAACUCAUGGCUAAUCUUGCUCUACCUAUACUCUCACCCACUUCCCCUUCAGCCCAUUGCAUCUAUAAGAAGCUUAGUACAGAUUGCUGAAAGGUAAAGUUUUCUUUUAAAAAUAUAAAUGCAUUAUCAUCAGCACACUUUAAAAUUAACAAAAAUUUAAUCCUAUUAUCAAAUAUCAAGUCAGCGUUGAAAUUUUAAGUGUAGGGCUUGAUCAAGUGAAUAUACAGUGAUUUGUAAUUUAUAAAAAAGAGAAAUUUAUUUCCCUUUAGUAGUCACUAUUUUUAACUUACAUCCAAAUGAGAUAGCUUCAUUGCAUGCUAAAAUACUCCAUAAUAUACUCAUUUAUCCCUGAAUGUAUCUGAAUAUUGCAAAUUUAUGUUGUUCUA